rnacentral:rRNA from 1 species
AGAGCGAACGCUGGCGGCAGGCUUAACACAUGCAAGUCGAACGCGUGUAGCAAUACACGAGUGGCGCACGGGUGAGUAACGCGUGGGCAUCUGCCUCAUGGUUCGGAAUAACCCCGGGAAACUGGGGCUAAUACCGGAUGGUACCUUCGGGUUAAAGAUUUAUCGCCAAAGGAUUAGCCCGCGUAGGAUUAGCUAGUUGGUGAGGUAAUAGCUCACCAAGGCUCCGAUCCUUAGCUGUUCUGAGAGGAAGAUCAGCCACACUGGGACUGAGACACGGCCCAGACUCCUACGGGAGGCAGCAGUUGGGAAUCUUGGACAAUGGGGGAAACCCUGAUCCAGCCAUGCCGCGUGAGUGAUGAAGGCCUUCGGGUUGUAAAACUCUUUCGACGGGGACGAUAAUGACGGUACCGUAGAAGAAGCUCCGGCUAACUUCGUGCCAGCAGCCGC